AGGUAUGAAGCUGUGGUGCCGUCGUGUUUGUGGUGGCAGGUGAAGUGUCUUGUGCCCGUCUCUUUCCAGCCUGGGGGGCAGUAUGAGCUCUUCGCUGUGGUUGCACACGUGGGAAUGGCGGACUCUGGUCAUUACUGUGCCUACAUCCGGAAUGCUGUGUAUGGAAAAUGGUUCUGCUUCAAUGACUCCAAUAUUUGCUCAUUGUCCUGGGAAGACAUCCAGUGUACCUACGGAAAUCCUAACUACCACUGGCAGGAAACUGCGUAUCUUCUGGUUUACAUGAAGGCGGAAUGCUAAUGGAUAUGCCCAAAACCUUCAGAGGUGGACACACUGUCACUUUCCACUUCCGUCCUGGAUCUAUGGAGCCUUCUAAGAGGCUUUGAAAUGAGGAGAAGAAUUGUUUUCCAACUAUAUAAUUGAGGCUUAUUUAUAAUCAGGGAUAUUAUCAAAAUAUUUAACACAGAAACCCUGUAGGACCUGAUCAGUCAGGAUGGACGCUUUCACCAGCGGACCCGGCCAUGUGGCUGCUGGGUCUUGGGUGCUCCCUGCUGUGGUCAGCCCUUUAGUUAGGAGCCUGUGGGAGGUCCAGGUGCCCCAGGGAGGAGAGCAGUGGCAGUGGGGGGCAUCUGGAUGCUAAGGGUCAGUGGCAGUGGGUAUUUCAGUAUUUCACAACUGCUGUGCCCAGACUUGUGUGUACCGGCUGAAUAUCAGUGCUGUUUGUAAUUGCUCAGUUUUAGAACCAGUAUUAAUCCAUAUAAAUCAAGCAUUUUGUAACUGUUAUUCUUUUAUUCAGCAAACAUUUAUUGACAAUCUGUCCUCCAUAAGACAGUGUGAUAGCACAAUAAUGAAUAAAAUUCUUUUCCACAAA